GAGAUUGUAAGUUAUCUGCCGUGUAAACUGUUGAUCUGCAAAAUUGAUAAAGGGAAUCCCGGUCUCG
rnacentral:tRNA from 1 species